rnacentral:rRNA from 1 species
GACGUAGGAGGCGAGCGUUGUCCGGAUUCAUUGGGCGUAAAGAGCACGCAGGCGGUUUGGCAAGUCGGACGUGGAAAUCCGGGGCUCAACCCCGGACCUGCAUCCGAAACUGCCCGACUAGAGGUAGGUAGGGGAGAUCGGAAUUCCUGGUGUAGCGGUGAAAUGCGCAGAUAUCAGGAGGAACACCGGUGGCGAAGGCGGAUCUCUGGGCCUUACCUGACGCUCAGGUGCGAAAGCUAGGGGAGCGAACAGG